CUGGUGCCAGCAGCCGCGGUAAUUCCAGCUCCAAUAGCGUAUAUUAAAGUUGUUGCAGUUAAAAAGCUCGUAGUUGAAUUUCGGGAUCAAAUUGUCGGUCGUGCCUCGGUACGAACUGGUAUUAUUGGUUCCUCCCUUCUGAAGAACCGCGAUGUCAUUAAUUUGGUGUCGUGGGGAAUCAGGACUGUUACUUUGAAAAAAUUAGAGUGUUUAAAGCAGGCGCACGCUUGAAUACAUUAGCAUGGAAUAAUGAAAUAGGACGUUUGAUUCUAUUUUGUUGGUUUCUAGGAUUGACGUAAUGAUUAAUAGGGAUAGUUGGGGGCAUUAGUAUUCAAUUGUCAGAGGUGAAAUUCUUGGAUUUAUUGAAGACUAACUACUGCGAAAGCAUUUGCCAAGGAUGUUUUCAUUAAUCAAGAACGAAAGUUAGGGGAUCGAAGACGAUCAGAUACCGUCGUAGUCUUAACCAUAAACUAUGCCGACUAGGGAUCGGAUGAUGUAAUUUAA
rnacentral:rRNA from 1 species